rnacentral:rRNA from 1 species
AGUGAACGCUGGCGGUAGGCCUAACACAUGCAAGUCGAACGGCAGCACAGUAAGAGCUUGCUCUUACGGGUGGCGAGUGGCGGACGGGUGAGGAAUACAUCGGAAUCUACUUUUUCGUGGGGGAUAACGUAGGGAAACUUACGCUAAUACCGCAUACGACCUACGGGUGAAAGCAGGGGAUCUUCGGACCUUGCGCGAUUGAAUGAGCCGAUGUCGGAUUAGCUAGUUGGCGGGGUAAAGGCCCACCAAGGCGACGAUCCGUAGCUGGUCUGAGAGGAUGAUCAGCCACACUGGAACUGAGACACGGUCCAGACUCCUACGGGAGGCAGCAGUGGGGAAUAUUGGACAAUGGGCGCAAGCCUGAUCCAGCCAUGCCGCGUGGGUGAAGAAGGCCUUCGGGUUGUAAAGCCCUUUUGUUGGGAAAGAAAAGCAGCAGGUUAAUACCCCGCUGUUCUGACGGUACCCGAAGAAUAAGCACCGGCUAACUUCGUG